rnacentral:rRNA from 1 species
CCUACGGGAGGCAGCAGUAAGGAAUAUUGGUAAAUGGACGCAAGUCUGGACCAGCCAUGCCGCGUGAACGAUGAAGGCCCUCUGGGUUGUAAUCUUCUCAUAUCUGGGACGAAAAAAGAGUAUUCUUACUCACUUGACGGUACCAGAGGAUAAGCACCGGCUAACUCCGUGCCAGCGGCCGCGGUAAUACGGAGGGUGCAAGCGUAAUCCGGAUUCACUGGGUUUAAACCGUGCGUAGGUGGAUAUUUAAGUCAGUGGUGAAAUCUCCGAGCUUAACUCGGAAACUGCCAUUGAUACUAUUUAUCUUGAAUGCCCUGGAGGUAGGCGGAAUGUGUAAUGUAGCGGUGAAAUGCUUAGAUAUUACACAGAACACCAAUUGCGUAGGCAGCUUACUACGGGGUGAUUGACGCUGAGGCACGAAAGCGUGGGGAUCGGACAGGAUUAGAUACCCUGGUAGUCCACGCCGUAAACGAUGGAAGCUAGCCGUUGGUAAGCAUGCUUAUCAGUGGCGCAGCUAACGCAUUAAGCUUCCCGCCUGGGGAGUACGGUCGCAAGAUUAAAACUCAAAGGAAUUGACGG